rnacentral:rRNA from 1 species
GAUGAACGCUGGCGGCGUGCUUAACACAUGCAAGUCGAACGAAGCAUUUGCGACAGAUUUUUUCGGAAUGAAGUUGCUUAUGACUGAGUGCCGGACGGUUAGGUACCCCGUGGGAACCCUGCCUGUUCCGGGGGGAUGGCAGCUGGAAAGGGCUGGUAAUCCCGCAUAGGGCCACAAUGUGGCAUGAAUUGGUUGGAAAAACGCCGGUGGUAUAAGAUGGACCCGCGUCUGAUUAGCUAGUUGGUGAGAUAACAGCCCACCAAGGCGACGAUCAGUAGCCGACCUGAGAGGGUGACCGGCCACAUUGGGACUGAGACACGGCCCAGACUCCUACGGGAGGCAGCAGUGGGGAAUAUUGCACAAUGGAGGAAACUCUGAUGCAGCGACGCCGCGUGAGUGAAGAAGUAAUUCGUUAUGUAAAGCUCUAUCAGCAGGGAAGAUAGUGACGGUACCUGACGAAGAAGCUCCGGCUAAAUACGUG